ensembl:lncRNA
AUGCCUCCUGCCCCCGCUGGCCAAGGUGACCACCACCCACGCAAGGUGCCCACGACUUCCCCAAGCCGCUCGCGCCACCCGCGCUCCCCCGCGGGGAGGGUUAGGGGAGCGCGGGGACCGCAAUGCCGGAGGCCGAGGACGCGGGGAUCGGCCAAGUGCCACUCCGCCCGAGGCCGAGGAGCACGUAAGCCACCCGGUCCCGAGUUCGCACCGGACGCGCCCACUCACCCUCCCCGUGGACCGCCCGAGGCUGGAAACGCACGACAAAAACGGAAACGGGCCUUCGACGCACGCUCCCGCUCCGUCUCACAGACUUCCGGCCGUUCUGGGCGGCUCGGAGGCUCGGCCGUCUCGGUGGUUCCCAGCGCAGCGGCCGGGGCGCGGGAGAAGGGGCGGGGCCAGAGAGUAGCGAAAGGCCUGGACCACGGGCGGGGCCCGGGAGGGGCGGGGCCAGAGUGGACGGAGGGGCGGGUCCGGGGGGGCUGUCUCACAGCCCCGGGAGGUGAAGGACACGCAGGCGGAAGGGCGGAGCGGAUCCCUGUGAAGCCGGUGGAAAGCCCGGGGGUCGCCCUGGCCGGGCCCCGCCUACCUCGGAUCACCUUUGGGGCACUGGUCCCCGCACCGCAUCUGUGCCUGGGCUUUUCUUACAGAAGGCUCCCGCUGGGCACGUUCCAGGCACCAGACAGCGGAGACCCCCGACCCGGGGCAGAGAGGGCACGGGGGAGCGGCCAGCUGGGGAGGAAUGAUUCUUUGGGAUCUAGGCCUGCUUGCUCAAAAGCUGGUGGAAAGAACCAAGAGGCCACGCACAGGAGCAGAGUUUACCUGAUCCCCGGACAGUGGCAAUGCUGCCUGAGGGGGUCAGGAGCUGGAAAUACUGGGAGCAAAAUGAGGGCCAGGGCCUCAGGGUGACAGGGCCUGUGCUCAGCCCAGAGAGGCUCGUCACAACCCCUCCUGGGCUCUCCACCUGCACCGUGUUCUUCCUGAGGCCCCAUCUCCUCCCUCUCCUGUCUGACUCCUUUUCUCCUACUUGGGCCCAAGUCCCUCAAAGGCAGAGCCUGUGAUGUUUCCAUUGGGCAUCUUUCCUGUGCUGAACAAGGACCCCAUGCCAAUAGAAGCUUGCUUGAAAAACUGACUAACCUCUGAGUCAACAAACUUAUUUUUCUUUAAAGGAAUGUACAAGUUGAAAACCAGGGUCUCCAGAAACAAAAUGGAUUUUUUUUACUCAGAACAAGAGUUCAAGCUUAAUUAGAAUGGAACCCAAAUAUGAAAAAAUAUGGCUGAAGUAGGACUCAGAGAUAUAUCUUUUAUAAAAUUCACUCUAUCAGAUGUCACUGACACUUUUGGAUUCUUUUCUAAGAGGAAAGCUGCUUCCUGUUAGUGUCCAUUGGAAUACUGCAAGUUAAAAAAAGUCAGAGCUCAUACCCAUUGGGGGGUUACAAUCAAAACAACAGAAAAUAACAAGUAUUGAUGAGGGUGUGGAGAAAGGGAGCCCUCGUGCCCCGCUGGUGAGAGUACCCCUCACGUGCAGCCACGGUGGAAACGUAUGGAGGCUCAUUAGAAGGUCACACACAAUUACUCUAUGGCCCAGCAAUUCCACUUCUGGGUAUAUACACAAAAGAACUGAAAGCAGGAUCUUGAAGGGAUCUUUGUACACCCGUGUUCAUUGCAGUAUUAUUUAUAAGAGCCAAAAGGUGGGAGCAGCCCGCAUGUCCGUUGAUGGAUGAAUGGAUCAGCCAGCAAAAUGUGUCGCAUCCAUGGAAGAUUCCUCAACCUUUUAAGAAGGACCGUCACGUCCUGCAGUAUAGAUGAGCCUGGAGGACAUUGCACUCUGAAACAAGCCAGUCACGAACGGACAAAUACUGUUUGACUCUGCUUAGAUGAGGUGCCUAGAGUAGUCAAAACUGUAGGGACAGAAGGACAGAAAGUAGAGUGGUGGUUGCCAGGAUCUGGGAGAAGGGGGAAGAGGGAGUUAUUGAUCAAUGGGGACAGAGUUUCAGUUUGGCAAGAUAAAAAGAGUUCUCAGGAUGGAUGGCUGUGAUGGGUGCACGAUAUGAAUAUACUUAAUACCACCGAACUCUACGCUUAAAAAUGGUUAAGAUGGUAAAUUCUUAUACUAUGCAUAUUUUAACACAGUAAAAAAAUUUGGAAAAAAAGGGCUGAAUAUUGGCCUUCUUCGUGUUUGGAGGACGGGUUCCUCUUCAAGUAGAUUCUUGGCUUACGGAGUGAGAAAACCACAUUUG